rnacentral:piRNA from 1 species
ACACGCUGUAAAUGACGAUAAAC